rnacentral:rRNA from 1 species
AGUGAACGCUGGCGGUAGGCCUAACACAUGCAAGUCGAACGGCAGCACAGUAAGAGCUUGCUCUUACGGGUGGCGAGUGGCGGACGGGUGAGGAAUACAUCGGAAUCUACUUUUUCGUGGGGGAUAACGUAGGGAACCUUACGCUAAUACCGCAUACGACCUAAGGGUGAAAGCAUGGGAUCUUUGGUCCUUGUGCGAUUGAAUGAGCCGAUGUCGGAUUACCUAGUUGGCGGGUUUAAGGCCCACCAAGGCGUCGAUCCGUAGCUGAUCUGAGAGACUGACCGGCCAGACUGAAACAGAGACACGGUCAAGACUCCUACGGUAGGCAGCAGUGAAGAAUAUUGGACAAAGGGCGCAAACCUGUUCCAGCCAUACCGCGUGGGUGAAGAAGGCCUUCGGGUUGUAAAGCCCUUUUUUUGGGAAAGUAAAGCAGCAGGUUAAUACCCCGCUGUUCUGACGGUACCCAAAGAAUAAGCACCGGCUAACUUCGUG